AUACUUACCUGGCAGAGGAGAUACCAUGAUCAAGAAGGUGGUUUACCCAGGGCGAGACGCACCUUUUGCACUCCAGAUGCGCUGACCCCUGCGGUUUUCCCAAAUGCGGGAAACUCGACUGCAUAGCUUGUGGCAGUGAGGGACUGUGUUCAUGCUCUCCCCUG